GCUUGUCUCAAAGAUUAAGCCAUGCAUGUCUAAGUAUAAAUGGUAUACAGUGAAACUGCGAAUGGCUCAUUAAAACAGUUAUAGUUUAUUUGGUAUUCGAAUUUACAUGGAUAACCGUGGUAAUUCUAGAGCUAAUACAUGCAUUACGCCUGACUUUUCGGAAGGGCAGUAUUUAUUAGAUAACAGACCAUCUCCCCCAAAGGAAAUGUGGUGAAUCAUAAUAACUGAUCGAAUCGCAAAGCCUUUGGCUGCGAUAUGUCAUUCAAGUUUCUGCCCCAUCAGCUUUCGAUGGUAGUGUAUUGGACUACCAUGGCUUUUACGGGUAACGGAGAAUUAGGGUUCGAUUCCGGAGAGGGAGCCUGAGAAACGGCUACCACAUCCAAGGAAGGCAGCAGG
rnacentral:rRNA from 1 species